GCGUUGUCCGGAAUUAUUGGGCGUAAAGAGCUUGUAGGCGGUUUUUCGCGUCUGCUGUGAAAUUUCGGGGCUCAACCCCGAACUUGCAGUGGGUACGGGCAGACUAGAGUGUGGUAGGGGAGACUGGAAUUCCUGGUGUAGCGGUGAAAUGCGCAGAUAUCAGGAGGAACACCGAUGGCGAAGGCAGGUCUCUGGGCCAUAACUGACGCUGAGAAGCGAAAGCAUGGGGAGCGAACAGG
rnacentral:rRNA from 1 species